rnacentral:rRNA from 1 species
UACGUAGGGUCCGAGCGUUGUCCGGAGUUACUGGGCGUAAAGCGCGCGCAGGCGGCUUGUUAAGUCUGGCGUGAAAGCCCCCCGGCUCAACCGGGGAGGGUCGUCGGAGACUGGGAAGCUUGAGGGCGGUAGGGGCUGGUGGAAUUCCCGGUGUAGUGGUGAAAUGCGUAGAGAUCGGGAGGAACACCUGUGGCGAAGGCGGCCAGCUGGGCCGACCCUGACGCUGAGGCGCGAAGGCGUGGGGAGCGAACGGGG